rnacentral:lncRNA from 1 species
CAGCUUUUGCCCUGAAGAAGCACAGACAGAGAUUUCCAAAGUUAAAUAAGGUGGAAAAUGAAUUGGCUUCAUAGCUUCCUUUUCUUCUAGUCUAACAACAGCUUUCCCCUCCUGGCUCCCCACCCUCUGUUCCUGCAGGUACUUAUUGCCUUAUGCUUAAGACAAUGACGAGGUGAACUUUGAAGUUCAAGGACCGAGCAGUCCUGAGGACAGGACGUCUGGAGGCCCAGGAGCCACAUACACUGUGUUCUCAUAACGGCUGGGCCUGCCUUCAUUCCUGAGAACCUAUCCCUGAGUUUCACAACUACCUUCUUCAGAUGAGCACCUGACAGACAGGCCCAGAUUCCCGCAGCUGACAGCUAGCCCUGUGUUGCGGCUUCUCUGCGGAAACCAGCCUGUCAGAUGGAAGGGCAUGAAGCUCCAGGUGAGCCAGACAGUCACUUAGCCUAAAUCUCACCCGCAAGUGAGGUUGUAUUUUUUGAAUACAAAAGUA